UCAGACGAUGCGUCAUGCAUAUCAAUAAGCGGAGGAAAAGAAACUAACAAGGAUUCCCCUAGUAACGGCGAGUGAAGCGGGAAGAGCUCAAAUUUGAAAUCUUAAAGGGUUUCCCUUUACGAAUUGUAGUUUAAAGAAGUGUUUUCUGUUGAGGUUUUGGUAAAAGUUCUUUGGAAUAGGACAUCAUAGAGGGUGAGAAUCCCGUAUUUGACCUUUACUUUCAACUUUGUGAUACACUUUCAAAGAGUCGGAUUGUUUGGGAAUGCAGUCCAAAAUGGGUGGUAAAUUUCAUCUAAAGCUAAAUAUUGGCGAGAGACCGAUAGCGAACAAGUACCGUGAGGGAAAGAUGAAAAGAACUUUGAAAAGAGAGUUAAACAGUACGUGAAAUUGUCAAAAGGGAAGCGUUUGACACCAGUGUUGUUUUUCUGAAAAUCAAUUAAAGAACUGUUUAUGCUAAGUUGUUUAGACUUUAUCAGCUAUCUGCUUAGUUUUGAGCUUUUCUUUAAUGCACUUUUCAGUUAACAAGUCAACAUCAAUUUCUUUUGCUGUAAAAAAGCUUGAGGAAGGUGGCUUGAGAUUCGUCUUAAGUGUUUAUAGCCUCUUGCCUAUGCAGUCGGAGAGAUUGAGGUCUGCAGCGUAGAUCCUUCGGGGCUAAAUGCAUUUGUGCUAAGUUAUAGCAUUUUAUAGACAACUUGUUGACUAUGAUUUGUCUUGUAGCUUACUCGCUUAUGUUAUUUUACCUACGCUUAGGAUGUUGACACACGCGCGUGCUCG
rnacentral:rRNA from 1 species